GCUUCUCUCUUCCUCUUACUCUUUCAUUGCCAUUGACGCGAAACUACAAACCCGACAAUUCCUCGCCUGAUUUGUUUUCUGAAUCACUUGGCGGCGAAUCCGUAUUUUCUUUCAAUGUCAUGAAGAUCCUCAAUUUGUAAAUAUCAGGAGAAUAACUAAUUGCACCAUGCCAUUGCAAAGGCACUCAGAAGUAUGUUCAUAGGUCAUGCCUUGAUAACUGGAGGUCAACGAAGAUUCCAAACAUGUCAGCUACAAUGUCUUCUCAGCCACUUGUACCAUGAACGCAGGUAUAUGCUUUUGCAAUUUUAUCUUCCUUUGCCUUUUGGCAACUAAGCAAAUAACUAAGAGAGAGAGAGGACGGGGAGAGAAGGGGGCGGGAGGAGGGGAGUUGGAGCUUGUUAAGAUGUCACUGCAUCUUGUAUUUACCACGAACAUAUGAAAGAUCUUGAUCCACUAAAAUUUGACCCUGAGUCUCUGAUAAAUGAGAAGCAACUAAUAAUAUGGUGGAUUUUUUCUUGCACUGAAUCCUGAAUGGGAGAUAUGGUUAAUUGUGGUAUAGAUGAAUCCUAUAAAAUUUAUAAUCUGCUUUUCCAUUGUGGUUUAAUAUGUUAUUUUUUGUGUACCAUACAUUUGAGAGUUCUCAAUGAUGUAACAACUUAUUUUUACACGCUCAAUAUAUCAUGCUGUUUGGAUUAA